CGUUUUCUUAUCCGCCCAGGUGUGCACGACCGCAAGGUCCGCAUUAAACGGGAAGCCGGUGCGCUCGAAGAGCAAGGCCGGCGCUGCCCCCGCAACGGUAAUCGACCGCGAUCCUCAGGAAUCGCCGUCCGCUCGACAACCACUGUGUUCCGACAUGGGAAGGUGAGCGUGAUGCGUGUCGAAAGCCCGGAGACCGGCCUGACGGAUUCGACUGGU
rnacentral:ncRNA from 2 species